rnacentral:lncRNA from 1 species
AUUUUUGUUACUUAUGAGAUAGCCUUUUCAAUGUGCUAUAGAGUAUUUGGCCGGUUAGGGUGGCAAGUUGUUAUUCGUCAAGAUCUUAGGGUUUCUUUUUGAGUCCUUUCUUUCUUUAGGAGGAAGAGCUAAGUUUAAGGUGAUUACCUUAUUGUUUGGCAUGUGGCUAUAUGUCUAUUUGAAAAUCCGACAACGAUGAAAUUUUUAAAGGAGUC